rnacentral:sRNA from 1 species
UUAAAGCUCCACUUAAAACCUUUGCCGUCUAAAGCGGUACUUCCGUUAAUAACGCUUACCGCUUCUGUAGGGAAAGUAGGGUAAUCUGCACCUUUAGCAAAAGCAGGAAGCUCAGUUGAUUUUUUCUUAGUUAACUCGUCUCCUUUAAUUACUCAGUCUCCGUUUUCUGAAGUCUUUUUAAAACUGUUAUCAUCGC